UCGGGAAUUUUGGGCAAUGGGCGAAAGCCUGACCCAGCAACGCCGCGUGAGGGAUGAAGUAUUUCGGUAUGUAAACCUCGAAAGAAUGGGAAGAAUAAAUGACGGUACCAUUUAUAAGCUCCGGCUAACUACGUGCCAGCAGCCGCGGUAAUACGUAGGGAGCAAGCGUUGUUCGGAUUUACUUGGCGUAAAGGGCGCGUAGGCGGCGCGGUAAGUCACUUGUGAAAUCUCUGAGCUUAACUCAGAACGGCCAAGUGAUACUGCUGUGCUAGAGUGCGGAAGAGGCGACCGGAAUUCUUGGUGUAGCGGUGAAAUGCGUAGAUAUCAAGAGGAACACCUGAGGCGAAGGCGGGUUGCUGAGCCGACACUGACGCUGAUGCGCGAAAGCCAGGGGAGCAAACA
rnacentral:rRNA from 1 species